rnacentral:rRNA from 1 species
GGGUGAGUAACCACGUGGAUAACCUACCUAUACAGACUGGGAUAACUUCGGGAAACCGGAGCUAAUACCGGAUAAUAUUUUCGAACCGCAUGGUUCAAAAGUGAAAGACGGUCUUGCUGUCACUUAUAGAUGGAUCCGCGCUGCAUUAGCUAGUUGGUAAGGUAACGGCUUACCAAGGCAACGAUGCAUAGCCGACCUGAGAGGGUGAUCGGCCACACUGGCAACUGAGACACGGUCCAGACUCCUACGGGAGGCAGCAGUAGGGAAUCUUCCGCAAUGGGCGAAAGCCUGACGGAGCAACGCCGCGUGAGUGAUGAAGGUCUUCGGAUCGUAAACACUCUGUUAUUAGGGAAGAACAUAUGUGUAAGUAACUGUGCACAUCUUGACGGUACCUAAUCAGAAAGCCACGGCUAACUACGUGCCAGCAGCCGCGGUAAUACGUAGGUGGCAAGCGUUAUCCGGAAUUAUUGGGCGUAAAGCGCGCGUAGGCGGUUUUUUAAGUCUGAUGUGAAAGCCCACGGCUCAACCGUGGAGGGUCAUUGGAAACUGGAAAACUUGAGUGCAGAAGAGGAAAGUGGAAUUCCAUGUGUAGCGGUGAAAUGCGCAGAGAUAUGGAGGAACACCAGUGGCGAAGGCGACUUUCUGGUCUGUAACUGACGCUGAUGUGCGAAAGCGUGGGGAUCAAACAGGAUUAGAUACCCUGGUAGUCCACGCCGUAAACGAUGAGUGCUAAGUGUUAGGGGGUUUCCGCCCCUUAGUGCUGCAGCUAACGCAUUAAGCACUCCGCCUGGGGAGUACGACCGCAAGGUUG